UACGGAGGGGGCUAGCGUUGUUCGGAAUUACUGGGCGUAAAGGCACGCGUAGGCGGACCUGCAAGUCGGGGGGUGAAAGCCCGAGGCUCAACCUCGGAACUGCCUUCGAUACUGCGGGUCUCGAGUCCGGGGAGAGGUGGAGUGGAAUUCCGUAGUGUAGAGGUGAAAUUCGUAGAUAUUAGGAAGAACACCAGUGGCGAAGGCGGCAUCCUGGACCGACAUUGACGCUGAGGCGCGAAAGCCAGGGGAGCAAACGGG
rnacentral:rRNA from 1 species